AUGGGUAUGGGUUGGGGUCAUGAAGCAUUAAAUAGUUAUAAUAGUACAAAGAAAAUAGUAACAUGGUUUGGAACAAACAAAGAGUUAUUCAUUGAUGUGCAACAUUUAUUAUGAUACAUAGAUGUAGAAAUCCAGGUCCAACUGUAAUCAUCAGAAAGCUACAAAUUGAAGCAAUAAAUUCCUGUCCGCAAAAUCAAAUUAAAUUUACAAGAAAUUAAAAAAAAACUUACAAGCAGAGAGUAAUAAGAGGGAGAGAGAACUCACCAAUUUCACCAUGUUCUUGACGAGUACAUAUAUAUCUCUAGAAAAACACCAAACUUCAAAAUUAAUCACUACAUACACAACCCAUGCUUCAUAAUAUUAGAUAUAGUUCAUCAUAAGAUAAGUCACCUACAUACUUAAAUCAAACCAAAGCUAACAAAUCAAUAUGAGAAAGAUACAUAUAUAUAAUAUAAUUGGCUUGCUUGAUGAAGCAAACAAUAUACAUAUCGGACCAAAACGCUUCAAUUCCCCGAGAAGAGAGAUCGAGAUAGAGUAGCAUGAAAAGAAGAAGAUAUGAAAGCACACCCUAGCUAGCUUGCUAGAGCUAUAGCUGCUUUGAUUUGAUUCCUAAUAAUAAUGGAAGGUGUGUAAUAAGAGGGGUAGGGUUUCUUCUUCUUAAGUGGAGGCAUAGAGUUGUUGUUGUUCUAACCGUUAUCAUUGGCGGAAGAGGAAGAGGAAGAUGGUGGUGCGGUUGGUGGGGGGUAAGAGAUGCGGUGAGAAUGAUGAUAAAAGUAAGAGUGAUGAAGAGAGAGUAAUGAUGAUGAUGAUGAGGGUAACAACAUUAUCAUUGCUGCCUGUUGCCCUUCUUUUUAUUUUUAUCAGAUUCACCCAACCUAUUCUAUCUUCUAUUGGCCUUCUUAUAUUACUUCCCAUAAUAUACAUGUAUAUAUAUAGAGAGA
rnacentral:lncRNA from 1 species